GAUGAACGCUGGCGGCGUGCUUAACACAUGCAAGUCGAACGAAGCUGUUGUUUGGAGACCUUCGGGUGGAAGAAUGACAGACUGAGUGGCGGACGGGUGAGUAACGCGUGGGUAACCUGCCUCAUACAGGGGGAUAACAGUUGGAAACGACUGUUAAUACCGCAUAAGACCACAGCACCGCAUGGUGCGGGGGUAAAAACUCCGGUGGUAUGAGAUGGACCCGCGUUCGAUUAGCCAGUUGGCGGGGUAACGGCCCACCAAAGCGACGAUCGAUAGCCGAUCUGAGAGGAUGACCGGCCACAUUGGGACUGAGACACGGCCCAAACUCCUACGGGAGGCAGCAGUGGGGAAUAUUGCAUAAUGGGGGAAACCCUGAUGCAGCGACGCCGCGUGAGUGAAGAAGUAUUUCGGUAUGUAAAGCUCUAUCAGCAGGGAAGAAAAUGACGGUACCUGAGUAAGAAGCCCCGGCUAACUACGUGCCAGCAGCCGCGGUAAUACGUAGGGGGCAAGCGUUAUCCGGAUUUACUGGGUGUAAAGGGAGCGCAGACGGCUCUGCAAGUCUGAAGUGAAAGCCCGCGGCUUAACCGCGGGACUGCUUUGGAAACUGCAGGGCUUGAGUAUCGGAGGGGCAGGCGGAAUUCCUAGUGUAGCGGUGAAAUGCGUAGAUAUUAGGAAGAACACCGGUGGCGAAGGCGGCCUGCUGGACGAAAACUGACGUUGAGGCUCGAAGGCGUGGGGAGCAAACAGG
rnacentral:rRNA from 1 species